rnacentral:rRNA from 1 species
ACGGGUGAGUAAUACAUCGGAACGUGCCCUGUAGUGGGGGAUAACUAGUCGAAAGAUUAGCUAAUACCGCAUACGACCUGAGGGUGAAAGUGGGGGACCGCAAGGCCUCAUGCUAUAGGAGCGGCCGAUGUCUGAUUAGCUAGUUGGUGAGGUAAAGGCUCACCAAGGCGACGAUCAGUAGCUGGUCUGAGAGGACGAUCAGCCACACUGGGACUGAGACACGGCCCAGACUCCUACGGGAGGCAGCAGUGGGGAAUUUUGGACAAUGGGGGCAACCCUGAUCCAGCAAUGCCGCGUGUGUGAAGAAGGCCUUCGGGUUGUAAAGCACUUUUGUCCGGAAAGAAAUCGCACUUACUAAUAUUAGGUGUGGAUGACGGUACCGGAAGAAUAAGGACCGGCUAACUACGUGCCAGCAGCCGCGGUAAUACGUAGGGUCCAAGCGUUAAUCGGAAUUACUGGGCGUAAAGCGUGCGCAGGCGGUUGUGCAAGACCGAUGUGAAAUCCCCGGGCUUAACCUGGGAAUUGCAUUGGUGACUGCACGGCUAGAGCGUGUCAGAGGGGGGUAGAAUUCCACGU